GAACUUCUGAAACAUACCAAGUCGAACUUAGUCUAGCCUGAUGCUAGAGAUUCCUCUUGUUUUGUUUCCUUGCUUGCACGAACGUGAUCGUUAUGCCUAAAGUGUUUGUGUGUUCACGUGAUCACGAUGCCAAGUGUUUCGUUAAACGAACCAAGUCUUUUAUUCCCUACUCAUAAUGUUUAUAUCGCCUAAAUGAAUUUUCCCAUAUGCAUUUUUAAUCUUCAUCUUUUAUACGCAUAUUUCUGUAUGCAAGAGCCAAUGCUAGUACUAACGUAACCUCGUCAACUAUAGAAAAAGAAAAAGGAAAAAAAGAAAAGAAGAUGGUCGAUGCGAGAUGCGAGUCAUGUUCGAAGGAAAGAAAAAAAGAUCAUCCGCCUGAGAUUAUCCAUGGCGAUGCAUCAAGAGGAUAUCCGCGAUGGGACAAGUUCUUCAUUGUAAAAUCCAACGCCGAAGGACAAAACUUUGCGCGUGUCACGUCGGUCACGCCAAAGAAGAUUCCAAAUCGUGACACGGAUGUGGAAAGCCCCAAGAGAGAAGAGAUUUCGAAACGUUCUCCUGCGGCUACUGAUCUCUAACCAAUCAUCAGGGAGACACGUUAUUCAAAGAAGGCUAUCGAUGUUGUGGUUUGUAAAAGAGAACCAGAUAGGAGGUUAGGAUUUGGUUAAGGAAAAACGAGUUCUAUGAUUACCCUUGGCUACUCCUAACCUCAAAGAAUCUUUUAACAAAUUCGUUAUUCGUUCUUUCCCAUUAAGGUUCUCUGAAAAAAGAAAAAAGAAAAAAGAAAGAAAGAAAGAAAAAAAAUAUCACAUUAAAAAAAAUGUUCAAAGAAUACCGUCGAAAGGAUAGAAUUUCUCUUUUUCAAUCUUAAGGGAUAUUCCCACUAUCGAAAUAUUUCCCCGAAAUAUACAUUCUAUCGCAUAUAAUGUAGACGCGCGUUCGUGUUUGCACUAUGCAUCUACGUUCAAUAUAGUAUACAGAAGAGAAGGGGCGGGGAGCAAGGGUUAAUCGUAGCUUCUUGCAUGUGUCGUGACUUGUUUGGCAUGCACGGUAUGGGCACAAUAAUAUACUCGAUAAGAUAUUUCUAGAGUCGUAUCGGCAUACCUCUUAGCGCAUGCGCAUUGACGAAAGAAAGGCAGGGUCACGACAAAUUAGUCUAACGCCUUAUUUAUCUAUAGCCAAGUUCUCUCUUUUAACCUAUACUAUGAUUCUCUUUCUCCACCUUUCACGAGCGUGUGUCGCCGCCACCACCGUCUCCUCUUCCUCCUCUUCCUCCUCCUUAUAAUACGUUUCACUCGAUCGUAUCAGAAAAAUUUCGUCGAACUAUCGAUUCUUAUAGAGAAAUGAUAAGCCUUAUAUUUAUAAACGUCUGAUUCAUAAGUGGAUUGUAAACCUUGAAUGCGGUGAUAAAUAUUAAACAAUGACGUCAUCCUCUUAGCGAAGUUUGCACGAAUCACCAAUGAUUACGUUACGAUCAAAGUUCGAAUGUCUCUUGAAAGAAUAAACAGACCUACACGUAUUCCGUAAAUAAAAAGAGAGAGAAAGAGAGAGAAGGGGGAGGGGGAAGGGAUCGUACAUUCCUAACUACGGCACUGACGGUUCUCCCCUCCACCUCCACCUCAAUCUACUGCUCCUUCUCUGUCUUUCUCUCCUCCCUCCCACUCUUCCCACCAGGCCCCGAGCAUCCACCAUAACGUCGUACGCCCUCUCCCUUGUCGUCACGCUUCGACGUACCGUCACUCGACAACGAAACGCGUGGCAACGUCGCCUUCUUCGUCGUCAUUUUCUUCGACAAUACUCCGUCCGUCUAUUCGUCUGUCCGUCUGUCCGUUCGUCGGUCGUCGUCGUGUCUUCGAAAUCGUCACGGUCGUCUAACUUUUCAUGGAAAUGCAACCACCAUUACUACACUUCGGCGAGACAUUCCUCUAAUUCUCAAUUUACGAAUUAAUCAUUCCACAUGCAAAAAGAAAAAAAGAAAAAAGGAAAACUUUAAAAAAAAUUUGAGUCCAUCAAAAAUAUACUACGCAAGUCAAUAUGACAGUGAAAAAUUGGAGUAACUACCAUAGGUAUCUAAAAAAUUAUUCAUUUAUAGUGAGGAAAGUAAUUAAUAAAAGCUCUUAUUAUUACGUAUCACAAUGUGUGGUAUAACACCCACUAGGAAAAAAUAUCGCAGUAUAUACACAAAGCAGUAUAUAUACAUAUAUAUAUAUAUAUAUAACGAAAUGGUAGGGUACCGACGGUCACGAUAAAGUCGAAAGCUACAAUUUUUUCCAGGAAAUACUUUCACGAGAAAUCGAUUAGUCCGGUGUUGUCCGUGACGCAGUCCAAAAGAGAAAAACAUAUUUUUAUCGAAUUCGAUACAACUCGAUCGAUAUGUCUUUCCCCAGUUUGAUAAGGAUUAUAAUUAUCAUCAUAAUCAUAAAAAUGAUUUGAACAUUAUUAUCUCUAUCUACUUAAAGAUGUCUCAACGUUUCCAUGAAUUACAUAUACAUAUUAUGAGCUGUCCGUAUGGUCCUAUGAUAGGAAAAGGAUAAAUGUUGAUAAGGUCAUACAAUUUUUCACAAUUUAUCUUUUCAAUAACAACAAUUCGUACUUGCUUUUUAAUAUACACGAUGCACCGUCUUGCGAACGACGACGACGACGACGACGACGACGACGACGACGACGACGACACUUAGCACUUAUAUUUAAUCCAAAUUCACUGUAAUCCAGCACUGCAUCCAUUGGUCUCGUAUUGAAUAUUAUGAAUAUCCAAAGUUAAGGUAUAUCAAUAUAAUUAAAUAGAGGGGAUUAAGAAUAUAAGGAAUUAUACAUAAGGAUGGGCAAAGACCAUAUGACAAAAACAAAAAAAAAAAAAAACGAAGAGACACCUAAUACGUGUAAUGACGUUUCAAUGUCGUUUUACCUGCUUCCGGUAUAACAUGCGAUUUAAUCGAUUCCCUGCGACGUGACUCAUCAUAAAGUGGUUUUUGCACAUACAUACCGAGAGAGGGGACCGUACACAUAUAAAAGCCAUUCGAAAUGUACAAAAAUAUCGUUAUCGGGUUCUCUUGUCACAAGAACAACACGUACAGCGAUAGGAGACAUUGCUUUUAAGAUUUUACGUUCACGAUCCAUGAUUCUUAUCUAUAUUUGGUUAUAAUGAUACGUUGAUCAUUAUGAAUCAUCCAUCAUGGAUCAUUAUGGAGGAUUAAAAAUUCUGAUCCCGCAUUCAUGUUUAUUUCAAAUUGUCUGCUGAAUUAACUAAACUGAGAGAACUUAGGUAUGCCUAUAUUAAACAUACCCAUAAUAGGUAUAAGCAUAAAACGGAUCCAUAUAUAUUAUCCUAGGGCAUUGCAUAGUUUAGCAAAAGAAAAAAAUAAAUGAACAAGAUCCCGCCGUAUCUCACCCGUGCGAGGGAAAUCUAUGUUGAAGAUGCUGGGGCUCGUAGUACUGUGUCGUAAGGGCUCGUUCGUCCAAAGUGUGCUCAGUCGCGUGAGCCUUCGCUGCGGACUUGAUAUCCAUGAACGCCACCGUCGCGGAGGCGCCCCCGGUGUUAAUCGAGGAACCGCCGCCCCCGCUGCCACCGCCGCUGCCGGAACUGGAACCGGAACCACCCUCGUUGCCCUCCCCGAGGGAACCACCGGAACCUCCGUCCACAGGGCACACCUCGCCCCGCGGCAGCAGCUUGACGCUCUGCACGCGUCCAUACCUAUAAUCGGAGAAACAUAAUCCAUUUAUUUACAAUCAUUUUGAACAAAUAAAUAUUAUUUCAUGUUUUUUUUUCUUUUCCAAGACAAAACUUGUUGGUUUGUCUGAUCAAUGGACAAUAAGUCGAAAUCUUUCUCACCGUUAUUCGUUAAUUUUUCAUUCGUUACAACAAAAGCAAAUGUGGAUCUACAGUAUAUUUAUCCUAAACCUUCCCUCCCCCUCCCGUACCAAAGUCAUCCCAACAAUUGUUCAUCGUUAAAUAAUCUUUAGAAGAAGGAAUCAGUGAUUUGCAUAUUUAUCAAAAGAAAUCUCAUUAUGUCGUAGUUAAAUGAUAGCGAUUAGCAGAGCGAGAGGUUAGUAGAUGGGAGGAGGGUAGGUGGAUUGGGUUGGGUGGAGCAAUGAACAUGAAAGCAAACGUUCUUCCAACGAUAUAUACGAUCGGUUGAGUCAUCGUACGAGUUGAAGUGGCAUAUUCCAACGUAAAAGUUCAAAGGAACUCGAGAAUAAACGAGGAUGUAGGAGGAGGGGGAGGAGAGAUGGGGAAUAGGAACGGCGGAGAAUGUUUUUCUACAAAUAUGUCGCAUCAAUAUUUCAGCAUCGAACAAAAUAGAGUAGGCAACGAAAUAAAAGAAAAGAAAAGAGGAAGAAGACAGGUACAAGCAGCAGGCAGGCAAGCAAGCAAGCAAGGAAGGUAAGGCAGGCAAAGUCCGUGGAGCGUUUCCAUAGGAGUAGAGGAUGCGGAGAAGACGACAGUGCACGACGAGAUCUGGCAACGUUGGACGGGGUAUAAUACUCUGGUCGGCGAACGGCAACAGCGCAAAAGGGAUCCUCGUUGAGAGAGAUCGUUUGGGAUUUCGAAGAAGGGAGGAGACCCUGUAAUCCUCUGCCCGUAGAAACCUCUCGCGAUACCCGACACGAGAGCGGAGGAAAUUAAGUCGAAGGAAGAGAAAGACGGAUAGAGGUUAGAGGAGGUAGAGAUGGCAAAGAACGAGGAGAGAGGAGGAGGUAGUGGUAGAGGUGGAGAUAUAGAUGGGAGAGGCGAGGCGGGCAAGGUAAGGGGGGAAGAGGAAGAGAGGAGGAGAGGAGAGAGCGCACGCGCGCAAAAGCAUUUGCGCGCGGGUU